CUUGAUCUUGGACUUCCCAGCCUUCAGAACUUAUGAUUAUGUGCCGAGCUCUGUGAGUCCUCCUAGCAAAUUGCUGAAUCUGGAGGUGAUCCUGGGGACCCCCCUCCCCCGCAAAGAACAAGAUGAGGACACGGGGAACCAGAAUUUGGAGAGCGUAUGUAAAGCUCCAGCCAUCCACCUCUUCUCGAUGGAGGCCCUAAUUUCCUACCUGGCUUUGAGAUCAGCUUGACAAUUAUUUUGAAAACCAACAGCUCCAGGGCUCCCCUCGUUCUCCAGUUCCUCCUUGAUUCCAAAACAAGAGCACGAUUUGAAGUUGGCACAGAAGUGAUGGGGUCUGUGCCUCCCUCUGGAUGCCUGGGGUAGGCUAGCUGGCCCCAUUGCCGAGUCCAGAACCUGACGCACUAACUCCGUGAUUUCUGUUGGCUGUCAUUGUUUUGGCUUUUCACCUCAGCCCUUCUUGUUUAUUAACCCAUAUUCUUUCUUCCUCGAAGACACAGCCCAUCAGUACUUUUAAAA